rnacentral:rRNA from 1 species
UACGUAGGGUGCGAGCGUUAAUCGGAAUUACUGGGCGUAAAGCGUGCGCAGGCGGUUUUGUAAGCCAGAUGUGAAAUCCCCGGGCUUAACCUGGGAAUGGCAUUGGAAACUGGCGAGCUGGAGUGCGGCAGAGGGGGGUGGAAUUCCACGUGUAGCAGUGAAAUGCGUAGAGAUGUGGAGGAACACCGAUGGCGAAGGCAGCCCCCUGGGCCGACACUGACGCUCAGGCACGAAAGCGUGGGGAGCAAACAGG